UGGUUCCCCUAAAGGUCCUGAUGGUUCCCCUAAAGGUCCUGAUAGUUCCCCUAAAGGUUCUGAUGGUUCCCCUAAAGAUCUGAUGGUUCCCCUAAAGGUCCUGAUGGUUCCCCUAAAGGUCCUGAUGGUUCCCUUAAUGGUCCUGAUGGUUCCCCUAAAGGUCCUGAAGGUUCCCUUAAUGGUCCUGAUGGUUCCCUUAAAGGGCCUGAUGGUUCCCCUAAAGUCCUGAUGGUUCCCUUAAUGGUCCUGAUGGUUCCCCUAAAGGUCUGAUGGUUCCCCUAAAGUCCCGAUGGUUCCCCUAAAGUCCUGAUGAUUCCCCUAAAGGUCCCCAUGGUUCCCCUAAAGGUCCCCAUGGUUCCCCUAAAGGUCCCCAUGGUUCCCUUAUAGGUCCUGAUGGUUCCCCUAAAGGUCCUGAAGGUUCCCCUAAAGUCCUGAAGGUUCCCCUAAUGGCCCUGAUGGUUCCCUAAAGGUCCUGAUGGUUCCCCUAAAGGUCCUGAUGGUUCCCCUAAAGUCCUGAUGGUUCCCCUAAAGGUCCCGAUGGUUCCCUAAAGUCCUGAUGGUUCCCUAAAGUCCUGAAGGUUCCCCUAAAGGACCUGAAGGUUCCCCUAAAGGUCCUGAUAGUUCCUCUAAAGGUCCUAAUGGUUCCCCUAAAGGUCCCGAUGGUUCCCUAAAGGUCCUGAUAGUUCCUCUAAAGGUCCUAAUGGUUCCCCUAAAGGUCCCCAUGGUUCUCAUGUAGUUGGGGCGCAUACAGGAGGAGUUCUAGAACAGCCUUGCCUUUUUUGUCCAGAACACAGGUUUUGUAAAUUAUUGUAAAUGUGACACCAGCACCCCCUGCUGGCUGGUCGGUACCUGCAGUCGUUAGUCUGAGGAAUAAAGUUUGUCUUUGACAUAAUUUCUGCCACAUGAGGUUCAUAGCUGGUUAAAGGCGGGCUAAAGGUAUGUAUCAGUUUAAUAUUAUAUAGUUAAAAACGUGUGGCAGUGUUGAAACAUUCUAGUUGUUAGAAACCAUUGAUUACUUUUAAA